AGUUUAACUUCUUAGCAAUGGACGGAGGCCACGGCGGUAUGUGGUCGCGAAUGAACCGCGCGGCGGAGGAGUUUUAUGCUCGUCUCCGGCAGGAAUUUAAUGAAGAGAAGAAAGGAGCCUCUAAAGACCCAUUCAUCUAUGAGGCUGAUGUACAAGUGCAGUUGAUCAGCAAAGGCCAACCAAGUCUUCUGAAAACUAUUCUAAAUGAAAAUGACUCAGUGUUUCUCGUGGAAAAAGUGGUUUUGGAGAAGGAAGAAACAAGUCAAGUUGAAGAACUGCAGUCUGAAGAAACUGCUAUUUCUGAUCUCUCUGCUGGUGAAAAUAUUAGGCCACUGGCCUUACCUGUUGGGAGAGCAAGGCAGUUAAUUGGGCUCUAUACCAUGGCUCACAAUCCUAAUAUGACUCAUCUGAAGAUUAAGCAGCCAGUGACAGCCCUUCCUCCUCUUUGGGUGAGAUGUGACGGUUCAGAUCCUGAAGGUACCUGUUGGCUAGGAGCUGAGCUUAUCACAACAAAUGACAUCAUUGCAGGCGUUAUCCUGUAUGUGCUCACUUGUAAAGCUGAUAAAAAUUACUCUGAAGAUCUGGAAAAUUUAAAAACUUCACACAAGAAAAGACAUCACGUGUCUGCUGUGACAGCCAGAGGCUUUGCCCAGUAUGAGCUCUUUAAGUCUGACGACUUGGAUGACACUGUUGCCCCAUCACAAACUACAGUCACGCUGGACCUUUCCUGGAGCCCUGUGGAUGAGAUGCUCCAAACCCCUCCCCUGUCUUCAACUGCAGCUCUGAAUAUCAGAGUACAAUCAGGAGAGUCCAGAGGUUGUCUGAGUCAUCUUCACAGAGAACUGAAAUUUCUCCUUGUUUUAGCUGAUGGCAUCAGGACUGGUGUAACUGAAUGGCUUGAGCCUCUGGAAACAAAAUCUGCUCUUGAAUUUGUUCAGGAAUUUCUGAAUGACUUAAAUAAACUGGAUGAAUUUGAUGAUUCUACAAAAAAAGAUAAACAAAAAGAGGCAGUGAACCAUGACGCAGCUGCAGUUGUCAGGUCCAUGCUUCUCACCGUGCGGGGGGAUCUCGAUUUUGCUGAACAGCUUUGGUGUAGAAUGAGCAGCAGUGUGGUUUCCUAUCAAGACUUGGUGAAGUGUUUCACACUCAUCCUGCAGAGUCUUCAGCGUGGUGAUAUACAGCCAUGGUUGCACAGUGGAAGUAACAGUUUACUAAGUAAACUCAUUCAUCAGUCUUACCAUGGAGCUAUGGACAGUGUCCCUCUCUCUGGAACUACCCCACUGCAGAUGCUUUUGGAAAUUGGUUUGGACAAACUGAAGAAAGAUUAUAUCAGCUUUUUUGUCAGUCAGGAACUUGCAUCUUUGAAUCAUUUGGUGAGUUUCUUUCUCUUAUGUAGUCAUAACAACACACAGUUGCUAAGUGUCUGUAAUGUGCCAGCCUCUGUCCUAGGAAGCACAGUGAGCCAACUGAUGCCAGUUACUGCUGUUCCUCAACGUCAGCUGACAGGAAUACUUCAUUUCUCCCUCAGUAUCGACACAGGAACAGGUUUGCCGUGUUCAGAAACUCCAUCAUAUUCUUGAAAUCUUAGUCAUCUGCAUGCUUUUCAUUAAACCUCAGCAUGAGCUUCUCUUCUCUUUAACACAAUCCUGCAUAAAAUAUUAUAAACAAAAUCCUCUUGAUGAGCAACACAUUUUUCAGUUGCCAGUCAGACCAGCUGCUGUCAAGAAUUUGUAUCAAAGUGAGAAGCCGCAGAAAUGGAGAGUGGAGCUCAGCAAUAGUCAGAAGAGGGUGAAAACAGUGUGGCAACUGAGUGACAGCUCCCCUGUAGACCAUUCCAGUUUCCACAGGCCUGAGUUUCCUGAGCUGACACUGAAUGGUAGUCUGGAAGAAAGGACAGCCUUCGUUAACAUGCUUACCUGCAGCCAGGUGCACUUCAAGUAAUGCGCACUGCGGGCCCUUGCAAAGGGUCUUCUCUCCGCACAAAACAAAAAGGGGGAAAAGAGUGAGUUAAUUUUCAGAGCCUGAAAAAUAGACAUCACGUGAACUUCUGCAGCAGAAAAGAAGAGUGAUCCUGAAGAGAUGCUUUGACAGAUGAAGGUGGAGAGGAGAUCCCGUCUCAGCCACGUCUCCUGAGGAGAAGUGUCAGCAUCAGGGCAGCAGUGAGGAUGGAGAGGGCGCAGACUGUGGGGACCACAAUCUCUGAAGCCACGUGCAUGUGCCUAAGCAAGGGCUCUGAAAGGGACAGAUACAUCCACCAGAAGUGAGCUGUGUUUUGAAACAAAAGCUAAAGGAGAUGGGCCACUGCGUUUCUAAUUUUUCUUAUUUGUUGUAAAAGUGAACCAGUAAAUCAAACAUUAUUUUGAAAUGGAGUUUUGGAGCCAUGGGACAAAGGCAUCAUGUUCACUUGGUAUGCACACAGCUUUUGGGAAUCCUUACCAUCACACAAAACUUACAUCAGUGCUGGAAAUGUAACAGAAAAUCUGGGGAUGCCUGACUUUGGUUAUUUCCCUGGUAUUUUAUUAAGCUUGAGUAUGGUUAAUAUUUAUGCUGGCGUUGCAUUAAUCUCAAAAGAUUAGCACCUAUAUUCCAUGGAUUCUCUCGGCUUUAGUCCAAAUAUUUUUAACUGGGCAUGGCAGUACACACCUUUAAUCCCAGCACUGAGGAGGCAGAGGCGGCCUGGUCUACAGAGCAAGUUCCAGAAAAACCACAGCUACACAGAGAAACCCUGUCUCAAAAGGAAAGACAAAAAGAAUCCCUGGGAAACAUUUUCAGCUUUUUCAGUUUGUUAUUCUCAAUAUACUUAUAUCCUCAUAUAUUACAAUUUCUAAUGGUAAUUCUAAUACUUAUUUCUUUGUAAACACAAAAAUUCACUAAAAUGUUAAAUUAUUUGAUAA